CUGAAAAGGACGAAUUGCAGUAUCCACAGGAAAAGGGACGCUCUCCUGUGUGGGUACGCAUAUGUUUUUUGAGGGUGACAUUAUGAGAAAAAGAUGCAUUGCAGAGGUCACAGAUGUAGGGACGCUCUCCUGUGUGGGUGCGUAUGUGGUCAGUGAGAUUCUGUUUACGCGGAAAAGAUGCAUUGCAGUGGGCACAGGCAAAAGGACGCUCUCCUGUGUGGGUGCGCAAGUGCUCCUUUAGGUGCCCGCUCUUUGAAAAGGAUGCAUGGCAGUGUACACAGGAAAAGGGUCUCUCUCCGGUGUGGGUGCGCAAGUGAUCAACGAGAUUAGCGUUUUGUCUAAAUGCAGCCGGACACAGGUGGCACGGGAAUGGGCGCUCGCCCGUGUGCGUGCGAAGGUGUCUUUCCAUGUUCCCCUUUCUGUUGUUCACAUAGGUGCACUGCCGGCAGGAAUGCACUUCGCCUUCCACGGACACGAGUGAACUGUAAUGCUCCUUGGAAGCCAAGGACAAGGAACCUGCAAAGCCAAGGGCAGAACAGGAAGGCACUGCAAUUCAUGUAUCAUACACAUCAUGGCAAUGGAAUGCAGAAAAGCCAAUCAAGUGCAUCAAGAUAAGCAAAGACCACACCGUUCUUUGCCAUUGUGAGGAAGAUACACUUGGGCAAGCUGUGGUAUCUGUGCUGCCAAGAGCAUCUUCGGGAGGACAGCGCACCUACAGAUGCACCCAGGCGAAUAGUCGUACCACUCUCCAUGCGCCUUUCCACAGCCAAGCAACCGUUGCCCAUGCCCACACUUAUCAUUAUUGACAGACAUUUGUCUGCCUCAGCGGCAGCUAUUAAAUUAAAUCACAAAAUGAGCUAUGCAAAAUUUAGUAAUCGUCACAGAUGUAUUCCAGUUUGACAACUGAUCGUUCGCACUACAGAAAAUUAGUAACCAUAUACAUUGGCUUCCUUCAAUAUAAAACUGACUACCAUUAGUGAAUUACUGCCUGAAGAUAUUAACUGAGUGGUUAAUAAAUCAUAAUUGCAUUGUUUCCGAGUUUAAUAUUCCAUCAAAAAGGAUAACCUAGCACUUGUCUUUCAGUGCAUCCUCUACUUCACUUCACGUGCUCUUUAUCUUCACUUAACGAUUGUUUUUAGAAAUUUGGGCCGAUCACAUUUCCUCGUUUCAAUGUGAAAGCACCAGCAAUGACACCAGAAACUCGCGUCACGCAUCCCGAAGAGAGAAUGCCGGUGUUGUACAAAAUUGUUGCGCACAAGAUUGUAUUUACUCAAUGGCCGAAUUCGCUCGUGUUCGUUUUCCUUGAAACACAGCUCUUUAUUAUUGCUGAGGCUGAAGGAAGAUACUUCCGAUAAGUGCAGUAAAAAAUGG